rnacentral:lncRNA from 1 species
GAAAACAGUCAUGAAUUUACAAGAAGUCAUUUUUUGGAGGACAUUUAUAAGAAUAGAAGAGACUUGUUGUCUUGGAAGUUCAUCCCUUCAAUAUGUUAAAAAUGUAGCACAGCUCUAGAAAAGUAAACAGUGUCUAUGUGUUUAAAAGUGCACUUGUUUUUAAAAGCACAGGCAGUCUCGAUUAGCUGUGAAUGCAUUCACAGGUAAUACAUGCAAGGCUGUAGGCUUUGCUAAAUCUGGACAGACUGUUUAGUCUUCGUAAUAUUGAUACUCAGUGAACAGGGGCAUUCUGACUUGUUUGGACCAAAAGCCUGUAGAUUUGACAUCUGUUAAUCUUUGAGUCCACCUCUACAUCUCUCUUAAAUUUUUUGAAAAGUGAACUAGAGAUUAUAUGGAGAGCUUGAUUUUCUGCUCUGUUACAAUGGCUUUAUUCAGCUGGAGUUUCCUUGGCAUGAAGCUGCUGUAAAGGAAUAUAUAAUCAAGCAUAUAGACUCUUAAAAAUUAAUAUUUAUGAUGCUAUAAAACAAACAAAAAAGCAGUUUUGCUUGUGUAACUUAUAACCCAGUUUUGAGUUAAUAGGAUGAUAAUUUCAGAAACACUUAAGUCCCACUUUAAAAAUGACCAUACUCACAUGGAUUGUUAAUUUCCAUUUUCUUUCAGCAGCGUCCAAGUGCUGGUAAAAUUCUUGAAACUCCCACUCUUCUACUCUUACUCUGCAGUUGCCGUGGUGAUGCUAUGUGGACACAAUUCUGCCAGCGGGCAUGUCAGAACUGCCUGCCUCCUGCUUCUGAUCCUCAUAAAUUAGUCCUUCAGUUCUCAUGGAAGAAGAUGUCCUGCUGGAGUGGAAGAAGAGCAAUGCAGAUACAACCCUGUAGACACAACAUAUGAUGCAUAACACAAGGAUCAUCCCUGGAGGCAUUCAAGAAAUAUUAAUUAUUGUACUGACUUUUGACACAGUUUGGUGAGGAAAUAUUGGUGGUAGGUGGAUGGUUGGACUAGGUGAUCUUGGCGGUCUUUUCCAGGCUUGGUGGUUCUCUGAUUUUAUGAUUCUAUAACUAGGGAUUAGGUAUGAUUACACUGUUUGCCAUGUAGAGAAUAAGUCUAUCAGUCUUCCUAUGGAAUCUCGUGUUUACAAAGAAAUGAAUUCAAAAUCAUUAGUUGCCCUUGAAAAAUUCAAUUCAUUGUCAUGUCAAUAUCCAAGAUUAGAAGAUCUUUCUGCCAACUCUACCUAGUCCUUUUACUUAUUUUGAGCUUUCCAAGAU